rnacentral:rRNA from 1 species
AAUGAACGCUGGCGGCAUGCCUAACACAUGCAAGUCGAACGAAGGCUUCGGCCUUAGUGGCGCACGGGUGCGUAACGCGUGGGAAUCUGCCCCUGGGUUCGGAAUAACAGCGAGAAAUUGCUGCUAAUACCGGAUGAUGACGAAAGUCCAAAGAUUUAUCGCCCAGGGAUGAGCCCGCGUAGGAUUAGCUAGUUGGUGGGGUAAAGGCUCACCAAGGCGACGAUCCUUAGCUGGUCUGAGAGGAUGAUCAGCCACACUGGGACUGAGACACGGCCCAGACUCCUACGGGAGGCAGCAGUGGGGAAUAUUGGACAAUGGGCGAAAGCCUGAUCCAGCAAUGCCGCGUGAGUGAUGAAGGCCUUAGGGUUGUAAAGCUCUUUUACCCGGGAUGAUAAUGACAGUACCGGGAGAAUAAGCUCCGGCUAACUCCGUGCCAGCAGCCGCAGUAACAC